rnacentral:rRNA from 1 species
GAUUAACGCUAGCGGCAGGCCUAAUACAUGCAAGUCGAACGGCAGCACGGGUAGUAAUACCUGGUGGCGAGUGGCGCACGGGUGAGUAACACGUAUGCAAUCUACCUUUAACUGGGGAAUAACCCUUCGAAAGAAGGGCUAAUACCGCAUAACACUGCGAUGGGGAUUCCCAAUGCAGUUAAACCUGAGGGGUUAAGAAUGAGCAUGCGUCCGAUUAGUUAGUUGGCGAGGUAAUGGCUCACCAAGACUUCG